rnacentral:rRNA from 1 species
AUACGUAUGGAGCAAGCGUUAUCCGGAUUUACUGGGAGUAAAGGGAGCGUAGACGGCAUAGCACGUCUGAAGUGAAAUCCCAUGGCUUAACCAUGGAACUGCUUUGGAAACUGCCAGGCUAGAGUGCAGGAGAGGUAAGCGGAAUUCCUAGUGUAGCGGUGAAAUGCGUAGAUAUUAGGAGGAACACCAGUGGCGAAGGCGGCUUACUGGACUGUAACUGACGUUGAGGCUCGAAAGCGUGGGGAGCAAACAGGAUGAGAUACCCUGGUAGUCCACGCUGUAAACGAUGAUUACUAGGUGUUGGGGACCAAAGGUCCUCGGUGCCGCCGCAAACGCAUUAAGUAAUCCACCUGGGGAGUACGUUCGCAAGAAUGAAACUCAAAGGAAUUGACGGGG